GAGGGCAAGCUGGAGCCACUUGAUGAUGGGAUUUGAUUGAUGGGUUUGGGAUUUUGGAACCAAUGGGGGGCUCAUGCUUGUUAGAAAAUAUGCGCUGUUUGUGGGGACGGUUAAUAAUCAGAAUCUUUCCUGAAGGACUAGGGGGGCUGGCAAUGGCAUAUUUCAGUAGCCUCGUGAGAUGAUCAUUUCACAAAUUGCAAACAUUUAUUCUUGGUAAUUGUCGGGAUAUAAGGAUAUGAUCUUCAAAGACUCUUUAAAUACAUAAACAAUGAGACAGACACUCAUUCAAGUUCGAGCCUAUGUUUAUGCCUAUUGUAUUUGAUCAUUUGAAUUUGAUACCUUAAAAAUAAGGUAUAUACAUGUUUUAAAUAUGCUCUAUCAUAUUUUUUGAAGACUCAGUUAGAACAUUUUGAAAUUCCGAACCAUUUAAUAGAAACGUUUGGUGCAAUUAA